AACGCACAUUGCGCCCGCCAGCACUCUGGCGGGCAUGCCUGUCCGAGCGUCAUUACCACCCGUCAAGCCCUGCUUGUGCUGGGGCCCCGCGGCUGCCGCGGGCCCUGAAAGACAGCGGCGGGACCGCCCCCGCGCCGAGCGUAGUAGCAACGCCUCGCUCCGGCGCGCCGGCGGCCCCGGCCCGAAACCCCGCGCCCCGCGCGAACGUGUUGACCUCGGAUCAGGUAGGAAUACCCGCUGAACUUAA
rnacentral:misc_RNA from 1 species